rnacentral:tRNA from 1 species
GCCAAGUUAGUAUGAUUUUAGUACGUCGAAUUUAGGUUUCGAAAGAAGGGUGUGCUCUACCUGGCU